AGACUUUUACCUCUGUUGUUUGAAGCCUGCAUUCUGCAAAGUGAUCUAUGACUAUAUAGGAACAAGCAGUUUAUUUCUGUUACACGAUAAUCGCUUAAAGUGAAUGAAGCAAUAAAUGCCUUUCCUUUUUACAGCGAAGAGAUAAACCAAGAGCAGGACAAGCUGUGGAGGAGUGCGAGGGGAAAGGAUGCUGGGGCAGCUGCAGCCAGAAAAACUUGUGGAGCGGGAAGUAUUGAACUGAGUGUGCAUGGGGAGCCCGAGACGACCAAAUCAGGUUAAAAUAGGAAAAGGCAUCUCUGCCUGCUCUGCGAGUCUCUUUGGUGCCAGAGAAGAGAGAGAUGGCAGGCUGAGAGGAGAACGAGAUGGACGGCUGGAGCAAAUAGUGUCUAAUGAACCAUGCUGGAAACACUGUCAAAAGCAAAGAGUCUGCAGGUCUGCAAGAGCAGAGGAGUGCUGGCUGCUUGCUUUUUGCACACAGAGGUACAUUAUUAUUUUAAAUGAAUCCAGAGCAGCUGAGGCAUUUUUGGACUAAAAGCCAACAUAACCAUGACCAUCUUAAUCAUCCCCUUGUAAAAUGAGCGGCCAUAUGCGUGAAAUCAGCCCAUACAUUUUAUGGAAUAUCUGUUGUAGGCUGGACAAGUACUUGGACUGAGGUUUAUUUUCUCAGGACUUCAACUCCUGAAAUAUAAACCUUGUAACCUUUCUCUUCGUAAAACCAGAAUUUAGAGAGGGGAGGGAGAAUUCCCCCAAACUGUACACUGUGUGGCACUGCCUCUCACGUAUCACCACACUUGACAAAGUCUGGUGCUAUAAUGGACACUAUAAACACUGAUUUCUUUACAAUUCUGCGUGAACAGCCCUGGUCUUGUUGGGGAAGGAGGUUUAAACAAAAGUGGCAUGGCUUAUAGUAUUUGUUAGUGAGAUAUCAAAAUAUUUAUGUGCACAGUAUUUCUUCACUGUACUUUUCAAAAGACUGAGGUUAAUCAAAAGGAGCCUGUUCCUUGUCUUAAACAAAAUCUUCUCCCAAAAUGCCUGCUGCCUAAUCCCCAGAAAGCAAUAUCACAUUUCCUUACAGGUUAUUUCUCAGCUAAUUGAUUCAAUAUUAGAGGCAGUGUUAGGCUACUUUAGGAUUUCUCAGGGCUUGAGAGUUCCUCGUUGACCAUACCUCUGCUUGCUUUAUGCAAGCGUUCCACCCUCUGCACUGGAGCAAUCCUCAGGUCUCGGCAGGACCGUUCAUGUGCAUCGUUACGCAAGCCCAUGAGUUUUUGCAGGACCGUGGCCUGAUUGCAUUUUAUGUUGUACCGUAUCCUGUAAUAUAUCAUCUUGCCACUGGCUUAUAUGUCAUGAGUGCCUUCAGCUACCUGAGCAGACUGAUAGAAACACGGUGCUUUGUGAAGGCCACAGAGCACUCCUUGCCCUUGUGAUCUUGUCUCGAACUUUUCCACUUGCUUAUCUUUCAUCCUGUUCCAUUCCAGUCCUGCAGUGUAUCUGAAGAUAUUCCUCUGGAGGAGGAAUAUUUAGGUGGGACAGUC
rnacentral:lncRNA from 1 species